GCCUGGCAGCUUUCCUGGGUGGAGCUGACUCACUGCAGGAGGAGGAACACUUCAACAGCCAUCCUGACAUCACAGUCUAAGGGUUGGUUACUUGCUUCUGUCUCCAGGAUCCAGACAAUCACCAUGAAGAGGCUGCUGUGCGCUCUUCUGGGACUGCUGUGUGCCGAGGUUUGCUGGGUGAAAGGGCAGCAAGUGAAGCAGAGUCCUGUGUCCUUGGUGCUUCAGGAAGGAGAGAGUGCAGAGCUGCAGUGCAACUUUUCCACCAGUGCAAACCGAUUGCAAUGGUUUUACCAAAGUCCUGGGGGACACCUCAUCAACCUGUUCUUCAAUCCUUCCGGAACAAAGCAGAGUGGAAGACUGAAGUCCACAACAGUCACUCAGGAACGCCGCAGCUCUUUGUACAUUUCCUCCUCUCAGACCACAGACUCAGGCACUUAUUUCUGUGCUAUGGAACCACAGUGCUCCCCACACACCUGCAGUCAGAACACAAACCUUCAGUUGGGUGGGUGUGGCCUUCCCCUGAUAUAGGACUUCAGAAUUCCACAAGAGAACAUCUGCUUGAUUUAAUAUCCCUUUUCUGUAUAAGUAGAGUUUUAACCUCAGGUAAGCUUUUGACCUUGUAAGUUACGGAGUUGGGUCUUUAAACUUUCAAUAUAUAAUCUCUCUGGAAUCAUAAGUGUCCAACUUAUAAUUAGCAGAGAAGCUGAUGGAAGAAUUGAAUCAAUGUGAUCUUUUAGGUCACAAAAUGCAGAACUCACAAAAGGCGAGGAGAAAAUGGAAUGAAAGACUAAGGCAGGCUUCCAUAUAACCCUGCUGUGGACAGGAUCAGGGAUUGUAAGGAGAAAACAAACUGCAGCAACAACAAGAACAUCAAGUUAUGGAAUAUACAGAAUGUGCAGAGAACUGAAUGCUCUUGCUUCCUUUCUGUUGCUGUGAUAAAGAUCUCUGAGAAAAGCAACUUAGAAGGGGAAAAGAUUCAUUUAGUUUUCACUUCAUGGUAAUAGUUCAUCACUGGUGGUAAUCAAGUCAGGAACUCAAACAAAAGUAAUGGUGAUGCCCACAGUGCACAGGCUUACAUUAAAUUCAUCAACAACAACAACAACAUGCUGCUUGAAGUUUUGGGUUGUUAUUUAAUUUAUAAAAUACAUUGAAGGUAAUUGAAACUACAGAAUCUUUUAACUCACUAUUUUAUACCCAUUCAUAUAUUUAACUUACUCAUAAUUGUUAUGAUGCUUUCUAGACAGACGUCUGAACAUCUUUAAGUAAAUAACGAGGCGGGCAGCUAUGAAAAGUACUCACACAUGUAUCUUGUCCAACUAACUUUAAACAGAAUAUCUAAAAAGUCUCACAACUCAAUAAAAAAAGAAUGAAUGACUCAUCAUAAAAUGAGCCAAACGAGCAGUCCCCCUGUAAUGUAUGAAUAAGGACAAAUGUUUAGGAUGUAGUUAGGGAUUGUGCUGGUUUAGUGAAGUGGUGGUUGUUGGUCCCCCUCAAAGUUCCAUGACUGUGCUAACACCUAGAGGCCAUUGCAGAAAACACAACAGUCAAGAUGCAGAGUUGUAGAACCUAGUUCCAAUGGCUAUGUCUACAAUAUAACUCAUGCAUCUAAGGUUCAGGAAA